UCUCCGAAAUAUAUUUAGGUAUAGCGUUGUGUCGUAAUAUAAGGGGGUAGAGCACUGAAUGGGCUAGGGCAUACACCAAUGUACCAAACCCUAUCAAACUCCGAAUACCUUAUAUGUAAUCACAGCAGUCAGGCGGCGAGUGAUAAAAUCCGUCGUCAAGAGGGAAACAACCCAGACUACCAGCUAAGGUCCCUAAGUCUUACUUAAGUGGAAAACGAUGUGAAGUUACUUAAACAACCAGGAGGUUGGCUUAGAAGCAGCCAUCCUUUAAAGAAAGCGUAAUAGCUCACUGGUCUAGUGAUUUUGCGCGGAAAAUAUAACGGGGCUAAAGUAAGUACCGAAGCUGUAGACUUAGUUUACUAAGUGGUAGGAGAGCGUUCUAUUUGCGUCGAAGGUAUACCGGUAAGGAGUGCUGGAGCGAAUAGAAGUGAGCAUGCAGGCAUGAGUAGCGAUAAUUAAUGUGAGAAUCAUUAACGCCGUAAACCCAAGGUUUCCUACGCGAUGCUCGUCAUCGUAGGGUUAGUCGGGUCCUAAGUCGAGUCCGAAAGGGGUAGACGAUGGCAAAUUGGUUAAUAUUCCAAUACCAACAUUAGUGUGCGAUGGAAGGACGCUUAGGGCUAAGGGGGCUAGCGGAUGGAAGUGCUAGUCUAAGGUCGUAGGAGGUUAUACAGGCAAAUCCGUAUAACAAUACUCCGAGAACUGAAAGGCUUUUUGAAGUCUUCGGAUGGAUAGAAGAACCCCUGAUGCCGUCGAGCCAAGAAAAGUUUCUAAGUUUAGCUAAUGUUGCCCGUACCGUAAACCGACACAGGUGGGUGGGAUGAGUAUUCUAAGGCGCGUGGAAGAACUCUCUUUAAGGAACUCUGCAAAAUAGCACCGUAUCUUCGGUAUAAGGUGUGGUUAGCUUUGUAUUAGGAUUUACUCCGAAAGCAAGGAAACUUACAACAAAGAGUCCCUCCCGACUGUUUACCAAAAACACAGCACUCUGCUAACUCGUAAGAGGAUGUAUAGGGUGUGACGCCUGCCCGGUGCUCGAAGGUUAAUUGAUGGGGUUAGCAUUAGCGAAGCUCUUGAUCGAAGCCCGAGUAAACGGCGGCCGUAACUAUAACGGUCCUAAGGUAGCGAAAUUCCUUGUCGGUUAAAUACCGACCUGCAUGAAUGGCGUAACGAGAUGGGAGCUGUCUCAAAGAGGGAUCCAGUGAAAUUGUAGUGGAGGUGAAAAUUCCUCCUACCCGCGGCAAGACGGAAAGACCCCGUGGACCUUUACUACAGCUUGACACUGCUACUUGGAUAAGAAUGUGCAGGAUAGGUGGGAGGCUUUGAGUAUAUGACGCCAGUUGUAUAUGAGCCAUUGUUGAGAUACCACUCUUUCUUAUUUGGGUAGCUAACCAGCUUGAGUUAUCCUCAAGUGGGACAAUGUCUGGUGGGUAGUUUGACUGGGGCGGUCGCCUCCCAAAUAAUAACGGAGGCUUACAAAGGUUGGCUCAGAACGGUUGGAAAUCGUUCGUAGAGUAUAAAGGUAUAAGCCAGCUUAACUGCAAGACAUACAAGUCAAGCAGAGACGAAAGUCGGUCUUAGUGAUCCGGUGGUUCUGUGUGGAAGGGCCAUCGCUCAAAGGAUAAAAGGUACCCCGGGGAUAACAGGCUGAUCUCCCCCAAGAGCUCACAUCGACGGGGAGGUUUGGCACCUCGAUGUCGGCUCAUCGCAUCCUGGGGCUGGAGCAGGUCCCAAGGGUAUGGCUGUUCGCCAUUUAAAGCGGUACGCGAGCUGGGUUCAGAACGUCGUGAGACAGUUCGGUCCCUAUCUGCCGUGGGCGUAAGAAGAUUGAAGAGAUUUGACCCUAGUACGAGAGGACCGGGUUGAACAAACCACUGGUGUAGCUGUUGUUCUGCCAAGAGCAUCGCAGCGUAGCUAAGUUUGGAAAGGAUAAACGCUGAAAGCAUCUAAGCGUGAAGCCAACUCUAAGAUGAAUCUUCUCUAAGCUCUCUAGAAGACUACUAGUUUGAUAGGCUGGGUGUGUAAUGGAUGAAAGUCCUUUAGCUGACCAGUACUAAUAGAGCGUUUGGCUUAUCUUUAAUAAAGCAU
rnacentral:rRNA from 1 species